rnacentral:rRNA from 1 species
UGGGGAAUAUUGCACAAUGGGCGCAAGCCUGAUGCAGCAACGCCGCGUGAACGAUGAAGGUCUUCGGAUCGUAAAGUUCUGUUGCAGGGGAAGAUAAUGACGGUACCCUGUGAGGAAGCCCCGGCUAACUACGUGCCAGCAGCCGCGGUAAUACGUAGGGGGCUAGCGUUAUCCGGAUUUACUGGGCGUAAAGGGUGCGUAGGUGGUCUUUCAAGUCGGUGGUUAAAGGCUACGGCUCAACCGUAGUUAGCCUCCGAAACUGGAAGACUUGAGUGCAGGAGAGGAAAGUGGAAUUCCCAGUGUAGCGGUGAAAUGCGUAGAUAUUGGGAGGAACACCAGUAGCGAAGGCGGCUUUCUGGACUGCAACUGACACUGAGGCUCGAAAGCGUGGGUAGCAAACAGG